UGGGCUUGACAUGCAGGGUGAAACCCGCGAAAGCGGGCGCUCUUCGGAGCCUGCACAGGUGGUGCAUGGCUGUCGUCAGCUCGUGCCGUGAGGUGUUGCCUUAAGUGGCGCAACGAGCGCAACCCUUGCCCUUAGUUGCCAGCGGGUCAUGCCGGGAACUCUAAGGGGACUGCCGGUGCCAAACCGGAGGAAGGUGGGGAUGACGUCGUGGAAGCAAGCU
rnacentral:misc_RNA from 1 species